rnacentral:rRNA from 1 species
GUAGGGCGCAAGCGUUGUCCGGAAUUAUUGGGCGUAAAGAGCUCGUAGGCGGCUUGUCACGUCGAUUGUGAAAGCCCGAGGCUUAACCUCGGGUCUGCAGUCGAUACGGGCUAGCUAGAGUGUGGUAGGGGAGAUCGGAAUUCCUGGUGUAGCGGUGAAAUGCGCAGAUAUCAGGAGGAACACCGGUGGCGAAGGCGGAUCUCUGGGCCAUUACUGACGCUGAGGAGCGAAAGCGUGGGGAGCGAACAGGAUUAGAUACCCUGGUAGUCCACGCCGUAAACGGUGGGAACUAGGUGUUGGCGACAUUCCACGUCGUCGGUGCCGCAGCUAACGCAUUAAGUUCCCCGCCUGGGGAGUACGGCCGCAAGGCUAAA